rnacentral:rRNA from 1 species
GACGUAGGGCGCGAGCGUUGUCCGGAUUUAUUGGGCGUAAAGAGCUCGUAGGCGGCCUGUCGCGUCGUCCGUGAAAACCCACGGCUCAACUGUGGGCUUGCGGUCGAUACGGGCAGGCUGGAGUUCGGUAGGGGAGACUGGAAUUCCUGGUGUAGCGGUGAAAUGCGCAGAUAUCAGGAGGAACACCGGUGGCGAAGGCGGGUCUCUGGGCCUUACCUGACGCUGAGGAGCGAAAGCGUGGGGAGCGAACAGG